UACGGAGGGAGCUAGCGUUAUUCGGAAUUACUGGGCGUAAAGCGCACGUAGGCGGCUUUGUAAGUUAGAGGUGAAAGCCUGAAGCUCAACUUCAGAAUUGCCUUUAAGACUGCAUCGCUUGAAUCCAGGAGAGGUGAGUGGAAUUCCGAGUGUAGAGGUGAAAUUCGUAGAUAUUCGGAAGAACACCAGUGGCGAAGGCGGCUCACUGGACUGGUAUUGACGCUGAGGUGCGAAAGCGCGGGGAGCAAACAGG
rnacentral:rRNA from 1 species